UACGUAGGGGGCAAGCGUUGUCCGGAAUCAUUGGGCGUAAAGAGCGUGUAGGCGGCUCGGUAAGUCCGCUGUGAAAGUCCAGGGCUCAACCCUGGAAUGCCGGUGGAAACUGUCGAGCUAGAGUCCGGAAGAGGCGAGUGGAAUUCCUGGUGAAGCGGUGAAAUGCGCAGAUAUCAGGAGGAACACCAAUGGCGAAGGCAGCUCGCUGGGACGGUACUGACGCUGAGACGCGAAAGCGUGGGGAGCAAACAGG
rnacentral:rRNA from 1 species